UACGUAGGUGACCAGCGUUGUCCGGAUUUACUGGGCGUAAAGAGCGCGCAGGCGGUCGUUCAAGUCGAGUGUGAAAGCCCCCGGCUCAACUGGGGAGGGUCACUCGAUACUGAUCGACUUGAAGGCAGGAGAGGGAAGCGGAAUUCCCGGUGUAGUGGUGAAAUGCGUAGAUAUCGGGAGGAACACCAGUGGCGAAGGCGGCUUCCUGGCCUGUUCUUGACGCUGAGGUGCGAAAGCGUGGGGAGCAAACAGG
rnacentral:rRNA from 1 species